rfam:Deltaproteobacteria bacterium RIFCSPLOWO2_12_FTLL_43_16 rifcsplowo2_12_scaffold_5012, whole genome shotgun sequence.
UCUCCCCUGCGAUGUUCGUGAUUAUAGGGAUAUUCAGAACCAACACUAUUAAAUAAGGGAACCUUCCCUGACUGUCCGCCGACGGAUUCCCACAUAGAGGAAGGGUCGAACGCAGUUAUAAAGGUACCCACCUAUUUAUUAGGUUCGAAUACCCUAUCAACACGGCAUGAAGGCGGGGGAGAA